AGUAAUGUAUGGGGAUCUGCCUGAUGGCGGGGGAUAACUACUGGAAACGGUAGCUAAUACCGCAUAAUGUCUGCGGACCAAAGCGGGGGACCUUAGGGCCUCUUGCCAUCGGAUGUGCCCAGAUGGGAUUAGCUAGUAGGUGGGGUAAUGGCUCACCUAGGCGACGAUCCCUAGCUGGUCUGAGAGGAUGACCAGCCACACUGGAACUGAGACACGGUCCAG
rnacentral:rRNA from 1 species